GGCAUGACCGUGGCUCUAGGGUAGAGCAGCUGUUUUCCAUUCAGAAGGUCGCAGGUUCGAUCCCUGGUGUCUCCA